CCCGACUGCGAGCUUUCCCGGUCGCCCUCCCGUGAUGGGCACCCUCAUGCCUCUACAAUGAACAUCUUUGUGCCUGUCCCCUUAUGAACCUGGGCUCAAGUUUCUCUGGGAUGUGUUCCUGGAAUGGAUUAUUGGAUCAUAUUCAUUUCUAAAUAGAGGACCCAGUGUGGGUGUGGCCCAUGAAUCCACUUCUGUGA